AGAAACGCACACCAAAAAUUGUCUACCAUAGAAAGCAAAAGGGGAAAUUUCCUGUGACAUUGUGAGGUCAUCAUACUGGUGCACCCUUGGCCUUGUCAGUGGGUGAGGUCACAUCACUAAACUGUCUGAAGUAAGGUGUCAUGGACCAUCAUAAAAUUUGCAUCAACAUGGAGAUUUAAUUGGAGACCAUUGUUCUGUUCGAAGUGUAGUUUGUGGAAGAUGCAAUGAUGAAAUUAAUUUGAAUUGUCAAUGUUGUAUUUUAAGCAUAUAAGCGAUGUUCAGAUGAUGGUACUGUAGCACUGUUUAAAGUUUUUAAUAUUGUUGUUAUUUACAAUGGAAACUACUGUAACAGAAGAAAAUAAAGAGGGAAAAAUACAAAUUAUUUUCUCUAAUUACUUUUUGUGACAUAUAACAUACAUUUCAUGAACUACAUAUACAAUUAUCUGUGAGCCAUAAUCAAAAUCAAAAUGCUGUACAUCCCUUUCAAAAUUAUGGUCCAUCACAGUUCAUUUUUUCAAAUAACGGUCAACACAUGUUAUUUCAAUUUACAGUCAAACUGUUAAAUAAUGAUCAAAACAUGAUUUCAGUUUACAGUCAAAACAUGCUUUAUAAAGUAAUGUUGUCAACAUGUCAUUUAUAUCUACAUUCAAAUCAUGUUUAGUUAAACAACUGCUACACCAAGUUUUUAUAUUUACAGUUAAAACAUGUUUUAUUAAAUAAGGGUUUAAACAUGUUACGUGAACUUACAGUCAAAUAAUGCCAUUACAUUUAAUGGUCUAUGCAUGUAUUUGCAAUUAUACAGACAAAAUAUGUUAUUUCAGAUUACGUUUUAAACAUUUUAUAGUACUGUAUGGUCAAUGUUCUUUUUUCCUGUUGCUGUGUAAGCAUGUUACUUCAGUUCAUGGGGUUUUACCGUUAUUUUCAUUAAUGGCAAACGUUUGGCACCCUGUGCUGCCAUGCAUUUGCUCGUUUUUUUCCGUGUUUUUUUUUUAC